rnacentral:miRNA from 1 species
GAUUGGCCAAAAUGUCCAUCUGGGUUUUUCUGGAAGAUGGCAUAGGAGAACCUGAAUGAACUUUUUGGCCAACCCA